GCAGUCGGACGGUGAUGAGGGACUUGCUCCUCUGAUCAGUGGCGAACGGGUGAGUAACACGUGAGUAACCUGCCCUUCACUCUGGGAUAACGCUGGGAAACCGGUGCUAAUACUGGAUAUGACCUGCUCGGGCAUCCGAUGUGGGUGGAAAGAUUUAUUGGUGGAGGAUGGACUCGCGGCCUAUCAGCUUGUUGGUGAGGUAAUGGCUCACCAAGGCGACGACGGGUAGCCGGCCUGAGAGGGCGAUCGGCCACACUGGGACUGAGACACGGCCCAGACUCCUACGGGAGGCAGCAGUGGGGAAUAUUGCACAAUGGGCGAAAGCCUGAUGCAGCGACGCCGCGUGAGGGAUGAAGGCCUUCGGGUUGUAAACCUCUUUCAGCAGGGAAGAAGCGUCUGGGUUUUCUCAGGUGUGACGGUACCUGCAGAAGAAGCACCGGCUAACUACGUGCCAGCAGCCGCGGUAAUACGUAGGGUGCAAGCGUUGUCCGGAAUUAUUGGGCGUAAAGAGCUUGUAGGCGGUUUGUCGCGUCUGCUGUGAAAUUUCGGGGCUCAACCCCGAACUUGCAGUGGGUACGGGCAGACUAGAGUGUGGUAGGGGAGACUGGAAUUCCUGGUGUAGCGGUGAAAUGCGCAGAUAUCAGGAGGAACACCGAUGGCGAAGGCAGGUCUCUGGGCCACUACUGACGCUGAGAAGCGAAAGCAUGGGGAGCGAACAGGAUUAGAUACCCUGGUAGAAUCACUAGUGAAUUC
rnacentral:rRNA from 1 species